rnacentral:lncRNA from 1 species
UACUAUAUCUCUUUACAUCGCUAUGUCGCCUCUCUCCAUAGAAACCCAGAACGUAGGGCUUCAAAUCCUUAGAGAAAAAUUGUAGAUUUUCUUCGCUCUUCGGAAGUCCGAGAUCAAGUAAAAUUGAUCAGUACUUAUCUUCAUCGUUUCCCAAAGAUCUGAAUUACUUCAAUCUACUUGUCAGGUCAGUUGUCGAUUUUUUCAUUUUUAGAUUCUCAAGUUUUUAUACCGCAUUUAAGUUGAAUCGAAAUUUUUCAAGAAGUCGGAUUCUCGAUGUUUGAUUCAAAUUGCUAGGUUUAAGUUUGAUAAUUAGUAUGAUAAUUAAUUCAUCGCAAUUUGUAGUAAGUUGAAUUUUUGGAUACGUGCUGAAGACUCCCCAAUAUUUCGAGAAUUGGACAGAGUCAACAAGUGAGGAUUUGGAAUCUAAAAACUAAUUUUUUUUCUUAUUGGUAAUAGAAACUGACUAAAUUUACAAUAAAAGUUGGUGUAUCUUUUUCCGGGUUUGGCAUCAAACAUACUGACAUUCUUCUAAAUAGAGAAGAUUUAUUGUACGGUAUCGUCCCUCUUUUCUACUAGUUACUACUAAAAUAUCUAAUAUAUUUACUUUAUGUUGGACAAUAUAUCUAAUUUGUUAUACCUUGGAUUUGAAAUCAUAUAGAGCUGACAAAGAAUAUUGGUAAAAUCAAUAACAUUGGUCAAUAGAAUGUUGUACAAUAGAGGAAUCUAAUUUUGAAGUUUUAUUUUAUUAUCAUCCUCAUUUACUGCCCUAGAAUUAGGGUAAGAGAUGUUCUAAUUCAAAUGAUUCUUUAAGAGCAUAUCUCAUGCAACUCACUUCAUCCAAUGCCAAUUAGUUAGGCCAACUAUGGAACAAGAGAAUUGCACCAUUCUUUGUUUGAAUUUAAUUAAUAAUUUACAACUGCAGAUAUGCCCAAUAAUCGAUUUUGAAUCUUGGCUACUGGAGCAUGUUUUUACAUGCAAAUUGCCUAAUUUUUCAAGGAACGUAAGUCACUUUUAUUAAUUGACCAUAAUAUUUAUGUUAUGUUCUUUAUCUUUUUAAAUUCUUUGAUCUUGUAUAACAUGGAAUAACUCCUUUGACCAAUGCCAAAAGUAAUACUAUCCAUAAGAUGACAGAAGAUAAUUUCAACAUUUAAUAAUUACUAUUGUUUAGUAUUUGAAGGUAGUUAGUUAAUUAUAUCACAAACUAUAAAAUCACUAAUCUCUAUACCGAGUCUACUUGUGCAUUAAAGAAAUAGGGCUCUUUAGCAUAUACGUAUUUUUGCAAAUUCAAUAGUUACUUUUGAGCUUAUAUUUACAUAAUUUUAUCCAUGGCUAAAUAUUGGUGGAAUAUUAAACAACUAGAUGACAUGAAAUUUUAUUUCAAGAGGAGUACUAAUGUAGUGACAAGAAUUUCUUAAGUUAUAUUUUAAUUAUGUUUUGUAGAAGCAGCAAUAACAUUUAACUGCUGUAAAGAAGGUGCCGAAGCAUGCUUGUCUACUCACCUUAUGAAAUAGGCUAGUAGGAUUGUAUUUGAUUUGGAUCAAAUAGAUGAUGACUUCUUGUUCUUAUUAGAUAUCAAGUUCCAAGCUUUUGAAGCAUGUUCAUUUGAUCCUUCAAUCACUUACUCAUAUCAUGAUGAAGCAUUAAAGCUAGUUUCAUGAACAUUUUUCUUACAAUUAGUCUCAUAUGUAUUCUUUUAGAUUUUUAAAGAUGACAUUUUUUAAAAUUGUAAUAUUAACAUGAAGAUGUAAGAUGGAGUUGGUGUAUUAUCUUUAUAAACGGUUAUGUGGAUUAGAAACAACUAUCAUAUAUAUAUUUAAGGCCUGAACACCGUGGCCUUUCUUUUACAUUCCAAUUAGUGAUAAAAACCCUCCAACAAAUUCCUAAGACUUGAUUCAAGAAAUCUUUCACUGGGUGAUUUGUGACAGUGGAGUGCUUUUAGGUUUGUUCCAUCUUUUUCAUGUUUCAUUUCUAAAAACUUUUUGUGAAGUUGGAUUGUAAUGCUUAAUGUUCUCAUCCUUAGUAUAUUUGGUGCUACGUAAUUGGAUGGUAUGCAAUUAUCCCAAUGUGAUAUGUGACUCUUAUUCAAUUUAAAGUCAAAUUUUCUGGUCUCCAGAAUGCAUAUCUGAUAUAAUGUGAAAUCUUAUGAAUCUUAAAAGUAUUUUCACAUGUAGGGAUGGUUGUCGGAUUCAUUUACAUUUAUCAAUUUCGGGAUAAUGAUGAAAAAUAUAAAUCUAUGCAAUUACUACUCCAUGUAUGAACAUGCCGUGAAGAUAACACAAGAGAUAAAAAGGCGUUGCAUCAGUUGAAUCAGUAGAAGCCAAACUAUGACAGGUAUGUUUACAUUUCUUUUUAAUGAUGUAUAUAUGACUAUGACUUAGAGAUUUCUUCAUCGUGUUAUCGAAUCCUGAAAAUUAAUGAAAGUAUGUGAUUUUGACUUUUCAAGUCUAAUGUAUCCUUAACUGUCACAUUAAUUGUUGACAUUAUGACAUAUCUAGAGGUUUAGUCCUCCUAUUAACUUUCUGCUGAGAAAAAAAUGAAUUAAUUUAACUAUAGAACGAAAAUCAUCCAAUGAUAAUGUCAUCUUGUUAAAAAAAAAGGCAUUAAAUUACCAUAUGAAGAUUAGCAUAAAAUUGAUUUUGAGCCUAUACUACUCAACCUUUGAGAUCUUCUCGUAGGAAUUUAUUUUUGAACAAAAAACUUUAAUAGCAAUUCCUUGAUAUGCUAGCAUGAGUUUGUAAAUGUUACAUAGUUGUUCGAUUAAUUAGUGAUGAACUGCAUAUGUGGUUGUUUAUUUAAUUUUAUUUUGUUUUAUCAUUUCAGAACAUAUAUUUUAAUAUUCAAAAACUUGGCAAGUGACAAGACUUCAUUGUGAUCAAGAGUUGGAGAAUAUUUUAUAUGUCUCAUUUUGUCUUUUUAUAGCUAUUUGAUAGCAAAAUUUAUUAGAUUCAAAAUGUGUGAUGAACCAAAAGAUCAUCUCUUAUUUAAAAGUCAAUCUUGUAUUUUGAGGCCUUAAAAACCUCAUUUUGUCUCACCUCGAUUUGCAUGCGCAGUCCGGGCGUAUAUCCGGAAAGCCCUUAUGUGAAAAAUUUGAGAAAAUGCUAAUUCUGCCUUUAAAAUUGAAUUUAAAUUGACUUCGAUCAACAUUUGGGGUAAACGGAUCUGAACCCAUGAUUCGACGGUCCCGAAGGGUCCGUAAAAAAAUAUGGGACUUGGGCGUAUGCCCAGAAUUGAAUUACGAGGUCCCUAGCCUGAGAAAUAAAUUUUUGAAAGAAAUUGGUUAACGGAAAAUAUAAGAGUUUUUGGAAAUUUAAAAAUGUUUGAAUUUGAUGGUAUCGGGCCUGUAUUUUGGUUCCGGAGUCCGAUAUAGGUUUAAUAUAAUAUUUAAGCUGUGCCUGUAAAAUUUGGUAAGAAACAGAAUUCAUAUGACAUGAAUCGGACCCUCGGUUGUGAAAAUGGAACUUUAAGCUUGAGAUUUUUCUUUGAUUUUAAUGCUAAACUUGUUGUUCUAGGUGUUAUUUCGGCGAUUUGAUUGCACGAGUAAGUCUGUAUGAUGUUUUUAGGAUUAUGUGCAUAUUUGGUUUGGAGCCCCGAAGGAUUGGGUGAGUUUUGGAUAGGCUUCAGGUGUUUUUUACUUAGAAAAAUUUGGUGUAGUUGUUGUAUCUAGUGUCUGUGGCACUAUGCUUCGCAAUCGCGUAGUCACUCUCGCGAUCGCGAAGGGGAAACUAGGCUGGGGAGGAUUUUACCCUACGUGAACGCGAGACUGAGGUCGCGAAUGCGGAGCAUUGGGGGACUGCUCUACGCGAACGCGAUCGGUCAACAGCGAAUGCGUAGCUUUAGGAUGGGCUGGUCAGGGAACAUAGGGAAACCUACGCGAACGCGACCCCUUUAUCGUGAACGCGAAGGCAGGGCUGGGCUAAACCUUCGCGAACGCAUAGCCUUUCCCGCGAUCACGUAAGUCCUCAGAUGGUAGCUCUUCGCGAACCCGACAAUGCUCACGCGAACGCGAUGAACACAGUCGCCCAGCAUUUAAAACAAAAGCAGAACGGGAUUAGACCCAAAAUUUCAUAUCUCCUUCCCUAGAAUCAGACCUUAGGCGAUUUUUGAAGAGAAGUUUCAAUACCAAAUCAUAGGUAUGUGUUCUUAAACUCUUAGGCGAUUGGAUAGGAAUGAAUGAAAAAAUAUUAAAUCGUCCCAUAUUGAAUCUGGAAUUUUGGUUCUUCCCAGAAUUUGUACCACUUUAUAAUGUAUAUAAAAUAAAACCGUGGAUUAUACCAAGCAGAUUACUUCUUUUAAAUUUGAAUACAAAUGAAAAUGUUAGUCAAAAUAAAAACAUCAAUAAAAACCAAAAACAAAACUUUUUUCUACGAUCAAAUAAAAAAAUAAAGAAUCGAAUUCAAGAAGCAAAAGAACUCGCAAGUCAAGGAGAAAAAGAGCGUCAAUUAGAUAUAGAAAACAAAGGAAAUCUGGGCCCUGUUCUCUCAAAACAUCAAAACGCUCUUAAAAAAGAUUACGCGGAAUCAGACACAAAGAAGGGUAAAAAGAAAAAACAAUACAAAAGCAACACGGAAGCAUUGGCCCGUCAUACAAAAGAAAAUCUGGUCACUCAAUACGAGACAAGAUUUAUUGCUUUGGCCCGUCAUGCUCUUAUUAUACUUCCCACCAAGAGAGAGAGGGUGAGGAGGUUUAUUGAGGGACUAGCUCAGCCUAUGAGAUUGUAGAUGGCUAAGGAGACAAGGAGUGAGAUUUCUUUCCAGGAUGCAUCCAAUGUGGCCAGGGAGUGUUCAGCCUAUUACAAGGGAGUGUUCAGGGGUCUGACAAGAGGCCCCGUUAUUUUGGCAAAUUCAGUGGUGCCUCAUCUGGAGGCAGGGAUUCUUUUGGUAGGGGCCAUCCUCCCAAGCCGUUUCAUUUAGCACUUCAGGCUUUUCUCGGUGCUCUAGGUGGCCGUGAUUCUUAUAUGCAGUAUCCUGAUCAGCAGUCCUACAGUGCACCAUUAUCUCCUAUCAGUGCACCUCCGCUCCAAAGUCAUCAUGGUGGUUACUCAGGCCAUCGAGUUCAGUUUCAGGGUCAGCAGUCUCAGCAGUCUCAGCAGUCGAAGUCUUGUUAUACAUGUAGUGAUCCGAGGCACAUUGCUAGAUUUUUCCCUCGAGCAUCGAGUAAUUCUCAACAUUAGGUUUCUCGUGCCAUAGUUCCGGCACCAGGUGUUCCACCACCCGCUCAACCAGCUAGAGGUAGGGGUCGAGGUGUUAGAGGUGGAGGUCAGGCCAUUAGAGGUGGAGGCUAGCCAGCAGGAGGUCGUCCUCGAGAUGUAGUUCAAAGUGGUAGGGCCCAACCCCGAUGUUAUGCUAUUCCAGCCAGACCUGAGGCUGAGGCUGAGGCCUAUCACAGGUACGGUUUUAGUUUGCAGUAGGGAUGCUUCAGUUCUAUUUGAUCCAAGGUCCACAUAUUCCUAUGUGUCAUCUUAUUUUCCCCCUUAUUUGGUUGUGCCUCGUGAUUCUUUAAGUGCUCAUGUUUAUGUGUCUACAUCAGUGGGUGAUUCUAUUGUGGUAGAUCGUAUCUAUCAUUCAUGCGUGGUUGUUAUUAGGGGUCUUGAGACCCGUGUAGAUCUCCUGCUUCUCGAUAUGGUAGAUUUCGAUGUCAUUUUGGGGAUGGAUUGGUUAUCGUCUUAUCAUGCUAUAUUAGACUGUCAUGCCAAGACUGUGACCUUAGCAUUGCUGGGGUUGCCUCGAUUAGAGUGGAGAGGGACUCCUGGUCAUUCUACAAGCAGGUUUAUCUCAUAUAUGAAGGCUCGACGUAUGGUUGAUAAGGGAUGUUUGGCCUAUUUGGCGUAUGCUCGUGAUUCUAGUGCUGAGGUUCCUUCUAUGGAUUCUGUACUCAUUAUUCAUGAGUUUCCAGAGGUAUUUCCUGNNNNNNNNNNNNNNNNNNNNNNNNNNNNNNNNNNNNNNNNNNNNNNNNNNNNNNNNNNNNNNNNNNNNNNNNNNNNNNNNNNNNNNNNNNNNNNNNNNNNNNNNNNNNNNNNNNNNNNNNNNNNNNNNNNNNNNNNNNNNNNNNNNNNNNNNNNNNNNNNNNNNNNNNNNNNNNNNNNNNNNNNNNNNNNNNNNNNNNNNNNNNNNNNNNNNNNNNNNNNNNNNNNNNNNNNNNNNNNNNNNNNNNNNNNNNNNNNNNNNNNNNNNNNNNNNNNNNNNNNNNNNNNNNNNNNNNNNNNNNNNNNNNNNNNNNNNNNNNNNNNNNNNNNNNNNNNNNNNNNNNNNCAUAGAUUAUCGGUAGUUGAACAAAGUCACCAUCAAGAACAAGUAUCCAUUGUCGAGGAUUGAUGAUUUAUUUGACCAGAUUCAGGGUGCCAAAGUAUUUUCGAAGAUCGAUUUGAGAUCUGGUUGCCAACAGUUUAGGAUUAGGGCAUCCGAUGUCCCUAAGACAGCUUUUUGCACUCGAUACGAGCAUUAUGAGUUCUUAGUGAUGUCAUUCGGGUUGACAAAUGCCCCAGCAGCUUUCAUGGAUUUGAUGAACUGAGUUUUCAAGCCUUAUUUGAAUUCCUUUGUGAUUGUUUUCAUUGAUGAUAUCUUGAUCUACUCCCGCAGCCGAGAGGAGCAUGAGCAGCAUCUUCGAGUCGUUCUCCAGACUCUAAGGGACAACCAAUUAUAUGCUAAGUUUUCAAAAUGUGAGUUUUGGUUGAGUUCAGUUGCAUUCUUGGGUCAUGUUGUAUCAGCAGAGGGUAUCCAGGUGGAUCCUAAGAAGAUUGCGGUAGUUAAGGACUAGCCUAGACCCAUAUCAACCACAUAGAUUCGGAGUUUCUUGGGUUUGGCAGGCUAUUACCGUCGGUUUGUGGAGAGGUUUUCAUCUAUUGUAGUCCCGAUGACCAGGUUGACCCAGAAGGGUGCUCAGUUUAGGUGGUCGGGCGAGUGUGAGGCGAGCUUCUAGAAGCUCAAGACAACUUUGACUACAACGCUAGUGUUGGUUUUGCCUAUAGGUUCAGGGCCAUAUACAGUAUAUUGUGAUGCAUCUUGUAUUGGACUUGGUGCGGUGUUGAUGCAGAUUGAAAGGUUAUUGCUUAUGAUUCACGAUAGUUGAAGAUCCACGAGAAGAAUUAUCCAGUUCAUGAUGUGGAGCUAGCAUCCAUUGUUCACGCACUGAAGAUUUGGAGGCAUUAUUUAUAUGGCGUGUCGUGUGAGGUGUUCACGGAUCACAAGAGUUUGCAAUACUUGUUCAAGCUGAAGGAGCUAAAUUUGAGGCAAAGGAGAUGGUUGGAGCUAUUGAAAGACUAUGAUAUCACUAUCUUGUAUCAUCUGGGGAAGGCCAAUGUAGUGGCCGAUGCUUUGAGUAGGAAGUCAGCCAGUAUGGGCAGCCUUGCGUAUAUUCCAGUUGGUGAGAGACCGCUUGCUUUGGAUGUUCAAGAUUUAGCCAAUCAGUUCGUGAGGUUGGAUGUUUUUGAGCCCAUCUGUGUGCUAGCUUGCACAGUCGCUCGUUCUUUAUUAUUUGAGCGUAUCAGAGAUCGACAGUAUGAUGAUCCCCAUUUGCUUGUCCUUAGGGACAUGGUGCGGCAUGGAGGUGCCAAUCAGGUUACAGUGGGAGAUGAUGGAGUUUCGAGGAUGUAGGGUCGUAUUUGUGUGCCUAAUGUGGAUGGACUUCGUGAGUUGAUUCUAGAGGAGGCCCAUAGUUUCUUGUACUUUAUUCAUCCGGGCGCCACUAAGAUGUAUCAGGACUUGCGGCAACAUUAUUGGUGGAGGAGGAUGAAGAAGGAUAUUGUUGUGUACGUAGCUCGGUGUUUGAAUUGUUAGCAGGUAAAGUACGAUCAUUAGAGACCCGGUGGUUUGUUUCAGAAGAUUGAGAUUCCUGAGUGGAAGUGGGAGCAUAUCACUAUGGAUUUUGUCCAGGCAGAAGAGUUAUGCCGACCGUAAGGUUCGCGAUGUGCCAUUCAUGGUCGGAGAGCGAGUGUUGCUCCGGGUGUCGCCCAUGAAGGACGUGAUGAGAUUUGGGAAGAAGGGCAAGUUGAGCCCUAGGUUCAUUGGCCCUUUUGAGAUCCUUGAUAGAGUGGGAGAUGUGGCUUACAAACUUGUGUUGCCACCAAGUUUAUCAGUUGUGCAUCCAGUGUUUCAUGUGUCCACGCUUCUGAAGUAUCACGGCGAUCCAUCCCACGUAUUAGACUUCAACACUGUCCAGUUGGACAAGGACUUGACCUAUGAGGAGGAGUCGGUAUCUAUUCUAGACCGGUAGGUUCUUCAGUUGAGAUCAAAGAGUUAUCAUUUAGUUCCUAUUUAGUGGAAAGGUCAGCCUGUCGAGACAGCUACCUGGGAGUCCGUGUCCGAUAUGCGGAGCCAAUAUCUCCAUCUUUUCCCUGACUCAGGUACUUUUCUAUGUCCGUUCGAGGACGAACAAUUGUUUUAGUGGUGAAGAAUGUGAUGACCUAAAAGGUCAUCUCUUGUUUUAAAAGUCAAUUCUAUGUUCUGAGGCCUUAAAAACAUCCUUUUGUCUCACCUAGAUUUGCGUGCGCAGACCGGGCAUAUAUCCGGAAUGCCCUUAUGUGAAAAAUUUGAGAAAAUGCUAAUUUUGCUGAAUUUAAAUUGACUUCGGUCAAUAUUUUGGAUAAACGGACCCGGACCCGUGAUUCGACGGUCCCGAAGGGUCUGUAGGAAAAUAUGGGACUUGGGAGUAUGCCCGGAAUUGAAUUCUGAGGUCCCUAGCCCGAGAAAUGAAUUUUCGAAAGAAAUUGUUUAACGGAAAAUAUAAGAGUUUUUAGAAAUUUAAAGAUGUUUGAAUUUGAUGGUAUCGGGCCCGUAUUUUGGUUCUAGAGCCCUAUACAGGUUUAAUAUGUUUUUUAAGUUGUGCCUGUAAAACUUUGUAAGAAACGGAAUUCAUAUGACGUGAAUCGGACCCUCAGUUGUGAAAAUGGAACUUUAAGCUUGAGAUUUUUCUUUGAUUUUGAUGCUAAACUCGUAGUUCUACGUGUUAUUUUGGCGAUUUGAUCGCACGAGUAAGUCCGUAUGAUAUUUUUAGGGUUGUGUGCAUGUUUGGUUUGGAGCCCCGAGGGCUCGGGUGAGUUUCGGAUAGGCUUCGGGGUGUUUUUGACUUAGAAAAAUCUGAUAUAGUUGUUGUAUAUGGUGUCUGUGGAACUAUGCUUCGCGAUCGCGUAGUCACUCUCGUGAUCGCGAAGCGGAAACCGGGCUAGGGAGGAUGUUACCCUACGCGAACGCGAGACCGAGGUCGCGAACGCGGAGCAUUGGGGGGACUACUCUACGCGAACGCGACCAGUCAACUGCGAACGCGUAGCUUUAGGAUGGGCUAGUCAGGAAACCUACGCGAAUGCGACCCCUUUAUCGCGAACGCAAAGGCAGGGCUGGGCUAAACCUUCGCGAACGCGUAGCCUUUCCCGCGAUCGCGUAAGUCCUCAGAUGGCAGCUCUUCGCGAAUGUGACAGUACUCACGCGAAAGCGAUGAACACUGUCGCCCAUCAUUUAAAAUAGAGGCAAAAUGGGAUUUGACCCAAAAUUUCAUAUUUCCUUCCCUAGAAUCAGACCUUAGGCGAUUUUUGAAGAGAAGUUUCAACACCAAAUCAUAGGUAUGUGUUCUUAAACUCAUUUCUUUCAUUUUCCAUCAACACCAUUAGAUUUCUAGGCCUAAAUCUUGUUCUUUAAGGGUAGAAAUUAGGGAUUUUAGGAGAAUUGGGGAUUUUACAAAUUUGGGGAUUUAGACCUCGAUUCGGGGUCAGAUUCCAAAACUAAUUGCAUAUUUGGGCUCAUGGGUGAACGGGUUUUGAUUCGAACCUCGAGUUGACCAAGCGGGCCCGGAAUUGGGUUUUGACCUUUUUGGAAGAAUGUUGGAAAAUCUGUAAUUUUUCAUUUGAAUUGGUUUCUUGAGCUUCGAUUAAUGUUAAUAAGUUAAUAUUGGCUAGAUACAAUAGAAUUGGAGGUGGAAUCAAAAGGGAAAGCGGAAUUUGAGUCUUGAGUUUGGCUGUGGAAUCCGAGGUAAGUAUUUGGCCUAACCUUAGCUUGAGGGAAUAGGUGUUGUGUCUUAUUUGCUGUGUGUUAGUGUCGAGCACGACAUAUAAGUGAGGUGACGAGUAUCUGUACGUUGGUGUCAAGCAUGCCCGUGAAUCUUAUAUUAAGAUUUUUGUGAUUUUAUUAUGUAUUGAUCAUGCUUAAAUUAAUGAUUAGCACUGCGGAACAAGACUUAUGAUAAAUUCUUGGUAAUUGACUAUUGUCGAGUAUUGGCUCAAGUUGAGGUUUAUUUUCUGAAGUAAUUGUUGAAACUAGAUUGGUUAUAGUUGAUUCCCUUGCCGGGACUAUAUUGUUUCUAUUGUUGACUCCCUUGCCGGGAUGGUAUUAUUUCUAUUGUUGUCUCUAUUGUUGAUUCCCUUACCGGGAUGUUAUCAUUUCAAUUGUUUGGGUGAGGAAGAGUGUAAAGCACGAAGGGUGAUGCCGUGCACGAUAUUGUGAGUGAGUGUUAAUGCACGAAGGGUGAUGCCAUGCCGAUAUUGUGAGUGUUAAUGUACGAAGGAUGAUGCCGUGCCAUAUUAUUGAGAGUAAAAGCACGAAGGGUGAUGUCGUGCCGUUUCUGUUGAUUUUUAUGGUGAGGAUGAGAGUAAAAGCACGAAGGGUGAUGUCGUGCACUUGUUUCUAUGUUAUUAUCUUUGUUGCUUCAAGUUUGAUAUUUACUUUGUCGCUUUACUUCAUUAUUGCCAUAACCUGAUAUCCCCCUCAGUCUGUUUCCCCCUUUUUUCGUCUUACUCUGUUUAAUGCUUAUUAUUAUUACUUCUCAUAUAUGAUUAAAUUGCACAGGUUUAUAUGGUUGUCGCGUCCUAGCCUCGUCACUACUUCGCUGAGGUUAGGCUCGACACUUACCCGUUGUAUACGGUGAAAUCGGAGAGUCCAAUUUCUCGCCAUUAAGGCACUUCCGAAGAUCACCUCGAAGGCUCGAGGCCACGGCCAAGUAUACUCCCUCGAGGGCCAUCGACACCCGGCCUUAGGGCAGUGAUGAUUACGGCAAUGGUAGAAAUGAGAAGUUCCCAAGGUACACUGCAAAGACUGAUAACCUAGUGAGCUACUCUAAACCCGAAUCAGGGUGUCAUCUAGCUGUCCCAUCUCUACUUCUUUGUCAUUAAUGUAUUUUGUACUAUGUUGGAAUUUCUCUCCUAUAUAAAGAGGAUCCUUGUCAUUUUUUGUAAACCUCUGUUGCUUUAGCUGCUCUACACGAAAUAUACAAGAACAUUCUCUCUGCUCUCUAACACAUUCUCUUG